GCGCGCCGGGGUGUCCCCGUCGCCUGACCGCCUGUGUGACUCCACGAAAAAUAAUGGUCACAAUAAUGGGGCGCGCAGCUGCGCGGCGCGGAUGAGAGGAUGAUGCGCAUUUCGAAACAGGCGGCGCGUGCCCUAGAUAAGCGAAACGGUUUUCUCUAGACCGGCGCCUGGGCAUAUGAUGCGUAGAACUCAAGAAAGCUCGACUAUGCUCGGUGUGCUAGCUUUCCGAGAAGCGAGUUGACAGCGAAACGCGCUCCUUUGCCACUGCUUCUAGACACAGCGAACUUCGAAAAUGAAGCCAUCUGUAGGCACCACAGAAAGGGCGUUAUAAGAAGAAAACCAAAGAACUGCUUCUACUUUCAACUUGAUAGCGUAAAAACACCGUGGCUUGGUUCGCGGGAUUCCUUGGUCAUGGUGUCGGUUCUGCGAGUGCCCCCGCCGCCUACCUUCUUGCGCCUAAAGUGGUCCACCCCUCGCUGAUCGCCGAUGCCACUGGAGGCACUUUCGUCUGGCAAACUGGGAUAGCCCCACCGACAAGAACAGCAGUUCCAACCGAACUUACAAAAGGCCCCGCACUACAGUCCCGGCUUCAGCGGGCACAGAUAAAUGGAUGCCAGCCGCACCGUCCCCGUGUUUCUCGGCAGAACUGUAAGCAUAAUUUAUGUCCUCCGAAAUGAACAUUUUUCUCCAAGCCCGUAGGAAUUGCUUUCUUUGUGGGGACCACAGUGAAGUCCUAUAUUUGGGAAUAAAAAUAAUCGUACACGAAACUUGUCCAAACUUUUCCACUCUGUGUUCACGGUAUAACGAGAAUUUUUCGGCAACGUUGAAGUGGCAAGAGAUAUUGCAGUAUCACUAAAAAGAGAAGCGGAGCACUGCAACAGUACUUAUCUAAAGUAUGCAGCCUGUAGCGAUGGGCUGAAAAUAAUGGAUUUUUAUAAUGUUUAUU
rnacentral:lncRNA from 1 species